AGCUGUUAGGUCGGUCCGGAAUAUCGCUCUCUGUUUUAAUUGGAUUAAUUAAACUGGUGGAUUAAUUCUGGACCACAAUUUUAUCCAUUGAAAAUGAGACGAGAACUAUGUUUAUUACUCGUUUUGUCCCUCCUUGGACAAUCGUAUUCACAGACCACAACAACCGGGUUUGGAAUAGCUGAUACGCUUAGGACUUUUAUAACUGGUUAUCCUUUGCUAGCACUCUCAGCCGCUGUUCCUUUUUUCGCUGCUAGUAACCUAGGACCGAAUCCGUCAGGGUUAGGAUUAAGCAGACCUCCAUUCCCACCACCGCCGCCAUUUUUGAGAAGACCAUUUUUCCCCAUGAUGCCCUUCAUGAGACCUCCUCCACCACCAAUUUUCAUCAUUAGGCAAGGUUAACAACGUGCGCCUGAUUUGAAUCAUUCGACCGAGUUAAGGAAUUGGUUCAUUUUCUGACGUACUUCCGGUGUAUAUUUCAUCAGACUUGCGUCCUGUGUCGACCGUUUUGAUUGGUGGAGAUCUAUUUAUGUUAGGAAUAUUUUGAAUUUUUCGUUCUGUUUGAAAGAAGGCUAAGUUUACACUUUACAUGUAGCCCAGUUAUUUUGGGCUUUCUUGUGUAUAAACUCAAAAUCAUAUGUACAUUCAUAAUUACUAUUCACUCACUAAUUAUUUCUCCAACUCUGUGUAACCAUAACUAUU